rnacentral:rRNA from 1 species
UACGUAGGGGGCAAGCGUUGUCCGGAAUUAUUGGGCGUAAAGAGCUCGUAGGCGGUUUGUUGCGUCGGCUGUGAAAUCCCGAGGCUCGACCUCGGGUCUGCAGUCGAUACGAGCAAACUAGAGUGUUGCAGGGGAGACUGGAAUUCCUGGUGUAGCGGUGAAAUGCGCAGAUAUCAGGAGGAACACCGGUGGCGAAGGCGGGUCUCUGGGCCGAUACUGACGCUGAGGAGCGAAAGCGUGGGGAGCGAACAGG